UACGUAGGGUGCAAGCGUUGUCCGGAAUUAUUGGGCGUAAAGAGCUCGUAGGCGGUUUGUUGCGUCGGCUGUGAAAUCCCGAGGCUCAACCUCGGGUCUGCAGUCGAUACGAGCAAACUAGAGUGUUGCAGGGGAGACUGGAAUUCCUGGUGUAGCGGUGAAAUGCGCAGAUAUCAGGAGGAACACCGGUGGCGAAGGCGGGUCUCUGGGAACUCCUGACGCUGAGGCUCGAAGGCCAGGGUAGCGAAAGGG
rnacentral:rRNA from 1 species